GGUAGAAGACUCGGUUUAAAGUUGUCACCCCCCGCCCACCGGCUUCUUUCCUAGCACAUUUAAGUCACAUGUAUGGGAUAACGGGGCAGCUGAUAAUUUAGGAUUCUGUCAGUGUGUGUUCCAAGGGUCAAUGGUUCAGUUGAUUAGUAUCCAAAAAGCACCAGUUACACAGGAGUCUUGAUGCGUGACUGGAUAGGUGUGGCAGUGCAUGAUCUCAAGUUUUCAAUCUUCGACC
rnacentral:scRNA from 1 species